rnacentral:misc_RNA from 1 species
AGCCAAUCCCAAAACCCCAUCUCAGUUCGGAUCGGAGUCUGCAACUCGACUCCGAGAAGUAGGAAUCGCUAGUAAUCGCGGAUCAGCCACGCCGCGGUGAAUACGUUCCCGGGCCUUGUACACACCGCCCGUCAAGCCAUGGAAGCUGGGGGCGCCUGAAGUCGGUCACCGUAAGGAGCUGCCUAGGGCGAAUCUGGUAACUGGGGCUAAGUCGUAACAAGGUAGCCGUACCGGAAGGUGCGGCUGGAUUAUCUCCUUAUUAGAGAAACGACAAUCUGGUUUCGUUGGGCUGCUGCAUCAUUCUUCUUUGUCCGUCUUGUCUAGUCCUGUAGCUCAGUUGGUUAGAGCACUACACUGAUAAUGUAGGGGUCAGCAGUUCAAAUCUGCUCAGGAAUACGGUGAAGAUGGGGAAUUAGCUCAGCUGGCUAGAGCGCCUGCUUUGCACGCAGGAGGUCAUCGGUUCGACUCCGAUAUUCUCCACUAAAGAAGUUCUUAGACGUACUGGUAGAAGAUAGAGAAAUUGAUAAGUAAAGAAGGGCAGUAGGCGGAUGCCUUGGCUCUCAACAGCGAUGAAGGACGUGAUAAGCUGCGAUAAGCC